GGUUUCUUGAUAAGAAUAGGAAAUUUAACCUGCCCACUGAUAUUAAAAAGAUUGAAGGGCCGCAGUAUUUUGACUGUGCAAAGGUAGCAUAAUCAAUAGUCUUUUAAUUGAAGGCUGGAAUGAAUGGUUGGACGAGGUAAAAACUGUUUUGAAUUGAAUGAAUUUUGAAUUUAGAUUUUAAGUAAAAAUACUUAAAUGUAAUUAGGGGACGAGAAGACCCUAUAGAGUUUUAUAUGGUUUUUGGUUAAAAUGUUUAAAUGAUUUGGGUUAUUAGAAAUCAUAUUUUGUUGGGGUGAUGGAAAGAUAAAUGAAACUCUUUUUAAGGGUAAAUAAAAGUGAAUAGAUUUUAGAUCCAUAUUUAACGAUUGAAAGAUUAAAUUACCUUAGGGAUAACAGCAUAAUUUUUUUUGAUAGUUCAUAUAGAAAAAAAAGAUUGUGACCUCGAUGUUGGAUUAAGAUAAAUUUAAGGUGUAGGUGCUUUAAAGAUUAGGUCUGUUCGACCUUUAAAUUCUUACA
rnacentral:rRNA from 1 species